UACGGAGGGGGCUAGCGUUGUUCGGAAUUACUGGGCGUAAAGCGCACGUAGGCGGCUUUGCAAGUUAGAGGUGAAAGCCCAGAGCUCAACUCUGGAACUGCCUUUAAGACUGCAUCGCUUGAAUCAUGGAGAGGUUAGUGGAAUUCCGAGUGUAGAGGUGAAAUUCGUAGAUAUUCGGAGGAACACCAGUGGCGAAGGCGGCUCACUGGUCCGGUACUGACGCUGAGGUGCGAAAGCGUGGGGAGCAAACAGG
rnacentral:rRNA from 1 species